UUUUUUUUUUUUUUGAUACACCCUUGCUUUGUCGUUUUGUUAUACAUACACACACUCACACACACACACACACACAGACAAAAACAGAUUGAAAGUCAAUACGUUUUAGUAGAAACACAUAUUGUUUUUGUUUGAAUUGGAUUUGAUUAAAAACGGCUCGUAAAUAGGCAGAAAUGUCAGUAAAAGGGCUUUUUAAGUAUUAAUAUUGUAGGCUCUGGCGGUACAGUCACACAAACAAAUGUUAUCUACCAUAAAAGUGCACGUGCAAGUCAACAGCUAGUAAGUUUUAAGGAACUGAUCAGCCAGGAAUUACGAAAUGUGAAAACUAUAAAACGAAGCAAUCGAAUGUGUGUGUGUGUGUGUGUGUGUGUGUGAUCCCGACACUUUCUGCGUGGACACGUUGCAUAUAUGAUUAAUAUUCGUGUGUGUUCUGUUUUUGUUUUUUUUUUUACUUACAGGUAACUGAGGGCUUCAUCAGAAGGUAAAGUAAACUUUUGGGCAUUAGCUUUAGAAAUUGGUUUAGGGCUCGUAGAAACGUGCCCAAAACCGAUUUUCGAAGCAAGUUUUAAACGAUCGUAUGCUAAAAACGAACGUUUAAAAAUCGCAGCAGUUCUAUUUGAAUGUUAUACGCGCGGUAACAUCAAAUAGAGCAAUAGAGCAACAACAACAAAUAUAGGUAUUUAAUGUUGGGGUAACGUUAUACAAGCCGAGCAAAAGACAAACCAACUAUUUUAGGGCAUGUAUAAUGUUGCGGCACGCAUAACAAAUAGGUUGUUAUACGUGCCGAGCAAAAAAAUGUUGUAAAUAUAGGAGUUAGCAAAAUAAAUGUAACGUUAUACGUGCCUUAACAAAUACUUUCAAAAUAUAUUGUUUAAAA